CAAUAGCGUAUAUUAAAGUUGUUGCAGUUAAAAAGCUCGUAGUUGGAUUUCUGAUCGAGACAUCAGGUCGGGUCCGAGAGGAUCAUGUACUUUGAUUUUGUUUUGAUCAUCCUUGGGGAGAGCAUUUCUGGCAUUCAGUUGUCGGGAUUGGGAUCCUCAUCGUUUACUGUGAAAAAAUUAGAGUGUUCAAAGCAGGCCUCGGCCUCUGAAUACAUUAGCAUGGAAUAAUAAGAUAGGACUUUGGUGGUCUAUUUUGUUGGUUUGCACGCCAAAGUAAUGAUUAGUAGGGAUAGUUGGGGGUAUUCGUAUUCAAUUGUCAGAGGUGAAAUUCUUGGAUUUAUGGAAGACGAACUACUGCGAAAGCAUUUACCAAGGAUGUUUUCAUUAA
rnacentral:rRNA from 1 species